AUGACCUGUCUGUGGGCAGCGUGUUAUAGAGCUGGCAGAACAAAGUAGAUUGAUGAAUAGGUUUGUGGGAAAAGAUUUAUUGUAACUCGUAUUUUAUUUACUUAAAUUGCUGCUUAAGUAGUCAGUUGGCCGGUCCUACUGGACUUCAGAGCCAGGAUUUGAGUAAAAACAAGUUAUAAUGAAUCUUUUCCUGAAAAAACUAUAUAUUUUACUCAGCUCCUCCUGCUCUAUAACAUUAUACCUGCAGAUUGUACUGUAUUGUAUAUAUCAUCUGCUCAGCUCCUCCUGCUCUAUAACACGAUACCUGCAGAUUGUACUGUAUUGGAUAUAUCUGCUCCUUCUGCUCUAUAGUUUUAUGUAUACAAUACAGUAGAAUCAGCAAGUAUCAUGUUAUAGAGCAGGAGAUGCUGAGCAGAUGAUUUAUGCAAUAGAAUCUGUAGGUAUGUUAUAGAGCUAGAGGAGCUCAGCAGAUAUAUAGAAUACACUACAAUCUGCAGGUAGCAGGCUAUAGAGCAGAAGGAGCUGAGCAGAGGAUAUAUACAAUACAGUACAAUCUGCAGGUAUCAUGUUAUAGAGCAGGAGGAGCUUAGUAGCAGAUGAUAUAUACAAUACAGUACAAUCUGCAGGUAACAUGUUAUGGAGCAGGAGGAGCUGAGCAGAGGAUAUAUACUAUACAGUACAAUCUGCAGGUAUAAGGUUAUAGAGCAGGAGGAGCUGAGCAGAUGUUAUAUACAGUACAAUUUGCAGGUAUCAUGUUAUAGAGCAGGAAGAGCUGAGCAGAUGAUAUAUACAAUACAGUACAAUCUGUAGGUAACAUGUUAUAGAGCAGGAGCGGAGCAGAUGAUAUAUACAAUACAGUACAAUCUGCAGGUAUCAUGUUAUAGAGCAGGAGGAGCUGAGCAGAUGAUAUAUACAAUAUAGUACAAUCUGCAGGUAUCAUGUUAUAGAGCAGGAGGAGCUGAGCAGAUGAUAUAUACAAUACAGUACAAUCUGCAGGUAUCUUGUUAUAGAGCAGGAGGAGCUGAGCAGAUGAUAUAUACAGUACAGUACAAUCUGAAGGUAUCAUGUUAUAGAGCAGGAAGAGCUGAGCAGAUAUCUACAAUAUACAAUACAGUACAAUCUGUAGGUAACAUGUUAUAGAGCAGGAGGAGCUGAGCAGAUGAUAUAUACAAUACAGUGCAAUCUGCAGGGAUCAUCUGCUCAGCUCCUCCUGCUCUAUAACCUGAUACCUGCAGAUCAGAUGUGACAGAUUCCCUUUAAUGGUGUGGCUAACCUAAAAAUUAUGCAGGCAGGAAAGAGAAAAGAUAUAUAAUCCAAGGGCUGGGGGAUAGAGCUAUAUCACACAAGCUUUACUUAUAACAUAUUUAAUUUUUUUUUCUUAAAUUUUUUUUU